rnacentral:rRNA from 1 species
AUCGAUGGCCAUGCUACCCUGAACAAGCCUGAUCUUGUCUGAUCUUGGAAGCUAAGCAGGGUCGGGCCUGGUUAGUACUUGGAUGGAAGACUACGUAGGGAGACCAGGUGUGUAGGCA